rnacentral:lncRNA from 1 species
GGAACAUUAGUCCCUGAAGAUUUUCCAGGAGAAACAAGUUCCAAGGCGAAAGAAGUUCUACAUUUUGUAGAUCUCAUUUAGUAGAUUUCAAAAAUCACAAUUAGCAUGUGAAAGCCUCAGAGAAAUUCUCCGGGAAAUGGCAUGUUUUAACUUAGCAUUUAUUCAACCACACAGCCUCUUUCUUCUCUCCACGCCCAUUCUUUCUCUACGCCUUUGGCACUCCUCAAACAGAAUAUUCUGUAGAACACACACUGGAGAAUGAUGACCCCACACUGAGUUAGUAUCCAGCACAGCUUCCAGAAAGACAGCCCUCUACUCAACCACCCUGACCCUACCAUUCCUGGACCACUCUGAAAUUCAGAAUUCCCUCUUUAUACUAAAUGGGAUAAAAUCCACUGCCUUGCUGUAUCUGCCCACUGACCCUAGUUUUAUCCAUAAGAUGGUACAGAAUAAUCCUCGGUCAUAGAAGGACUUUAAGAGUUUUAGCCCUAUAGAAUUAAAUCUGUCUUCGCCACUUAGCUACUAGCUGGGAAAUUACCAAGACUCUGAUUUUUAGUUUCCUUAUCUAAAUGAUCUGCCUCUGAAGGUUGUUGUGACGGCUCUGUAAGAUGUGUAAGAUGUGUCAGAAUGCCGGACCGAGCGCCUGCCAUGUACGGUUACUCAGGAAAAGUGAGCUCCCUUGACUGCCCUCUUCCAUAGUUUCUCUCAUGGAUGGAGAUGGUAGUAGCCACGUCUCUCUGGCAUCCUCUCUUCUCCACACUAAACAGCCUCAGCUCUUUCUGACAUAGACAGUGGCUGUGAAUAGCAGACUAGAGGUUGGGUUGCCCCCCAAUACCCCAAGCAUCACAGGAAACAGAGACCGAGGGGGUAGGAGGUUGCCAAUGUGCUCUCUUAACAUUCUAUGUUUCCAAGUCUAAAUCCUGUUUUUUAAGUGGAACUGCCAUAAUAAUCAACAGAAUGUCUUUGAGAUCUUUUGAGGGAAAGUAUCACAUUGUUAUGAAGGUCGUGGAAAUGCCUUCUUUUCCUAGAUCAUCAUAGUAACGAUUUACACCUAACAAGUGUCAAAUAAUACUCUCUAAAUGCAAAAAACUACACUAUAAAAAUGAGAUACAGAUCUUCCAGCCAGGGAGGUGAGUGCUCACAUUUUCCCUGAUAGGGAAAGGAGUAUCUCUACCGAGGAAGUCAAGUCCACUUUCUAUUACCAAAAUCUUUGGAAGGCUUCCUGGCACAGGGCAUCUCUAACAGUAAAUAGUUCAAAAAUUAUUCAUGUUUAGCUUUACAAAGUAGCAACAAAUUGGACUUUUCUGAGUGUGUGGCAUUUGCUUUUUCCAGUAGGAGAUGAUUUAAAAAUAUAUAAAGAGUGGCGGCAGUUAAAUGGAGUUAAAUGGGGCAGUUGUUGCCCCAAGCCUGAUGUGCUCUGUUCCAUUAGGGUCAUUCCCACUACAGUUGGUACAGGAGUCAUCUCUCCCACUCAUUUGCUUAGUUGUGUUUCUUAGACUAUGUCAGAGAGGUACAACUGGUCCUGCUUAAUAGGUUAAGGACGAUCGUAGGUGGAAGCAGCACCUCUAUUCUGUAUUCAAAUUCCCAGUUUGAGGCUUGGUGUGGUCUGAUGGAAUAACUAUGAUUGCCAAUAUCACAAAAGACACUGAACUUCACACACGGCAUUCUCGUUCAUGUCACAUAACUUGUUUGAAAACUGCAUUUGGGAUCAGUAAUCUAUUGGGUAGUUAUCUUCAGGACACACUUUCUUCAACAUGACACCUCAGCCAAGUAGCCUUUAACUAAAAGCCCUUUCCCCUCUCUAAUUUGUCUCAUUGUCUUCCU